rnacentral:rRNA from 1 species
GAUGAACGCUGGCGGCGUGCCUAAUACAUGCAAGUCGAACGCAUUUUCUUUCACCGUAGCUUGCUACACCGAAAGAAAAUGAGUGGCGAACGGGUGAGUAACACGUGGGUAACCUGCCCAUCAGCGGGGGAUAACACUUGGAAACAGGUGCUAAUACCGCAUAAUGCAUCGGAUUCGCAUGUUUCUGAUGCCAAAGAUUUUAUCGCUGAAAGAUGAGCUCGCGUCUGAUUAGCUAGUUGGCGGGGUAACGGCCCACCAAGGCGACGAUCAGUAGCCGGACUGAGAGGUUGAACGGCCACAUUGGGACUGAGACACGGCCCAG